ACAGAGCAGAGGCCAUGCAGCAGGCCGGGUCGUGCACCCCAAGCCCUCACAGCCAGGGGACCACCAUCAAGGUGGGUGGGGCCUCAGCAGAGCCGGGGCCUCCCAAGGAGACAGUGAGGAUGAGAAGGCCAGUCCCCCAGCACCUGCUCACUGGGGAGGCAGCUGUCCAACGAGGCUUCCCAGAACCCCCUGGGAAGGAAGUCUGGGAUCCUCACUGGGCCUCAGCCUGUCCCUCCCAGCCCAGGAUUAGGGAUCUGAACAGAAGCUCACUUCCCCUGCAGUGACCUGGGGGGUUUGGGGGACAGCUUUGUUCCAGGCCACUCAGACCCGACAGAGCAGGGGACAGCCAGGAGGGGAGAGCCAGGCGAGCCGUGGGGACUCUGCUGGGCCCCGUGUGGCAGCGAGGGGCCUGGGGCCGCGGGAGGAGGCUGCCCCACCACACAGCUGCCUGGGGGCCAGGAAGUUGGCAGCCUCGGCCAGCUCCUCGAUGCGGAUCUCACGGGCACCGGCCGGGAUCAGCCCCACAUCCACGUACCCUGGUGGCCGGCGGUGCGCAGAGGAAGCCACUGCCUGGGAUCCUGCAGCCAGAAGGCGGGCGAGCCACCCACCGCCUGGGCUUGUUUCCGGCAGGAGCUGUGCUGAGCUGGUGCGGACGAGGAAGUCGUGGUGCCAAAGCAGAGGUGGGGCGUGCGGCCCGAUCGUGAGGGGGCUUUGCUGAGACGUGAUCAAAGGGCCUCAGCGGCAGAGCUGGUACAGCCUGGGGAGGGUGCGAGGGGACCAGGAGGGCCCCAGCAGAGGCCACCAGGGGUGGGGACAGGAGGUGUUAGAGA